UACGGGGGGGGCAAGCGUUGUUCGGAAUUACUGGGCGUAAAGGGCUCGUAGGCGGCCAACUAAGUCGGAUGUGAAAUCCCCAGGCUCAACUUGGGAUCUGCAUCCGAUACUGGAUGGCUUGAAUUCGGGAGAGGGAUGCAGAAUUCCAGGUGUAGCGGUGAAAUGCGUAGAUAUCUGGAGGAAUACCGGUGGCGAAGGCGGCAUCCUGGACCGACAUUGACGCUGAGGAGCGAAAGCUAGGGGAGCAAACGGG
rnacentral:rRNA from 1 species